UUCUCAAACUCCCAAUCCCUCAUACCAAACGCCCCGUUGGUGUCUUGUUGUCCUGCUUUUAAACCAGCGGCAUUCUAGCUUGAAUUGGCAGUAGCUUUUUACUUGUUGAUCUUAUGACCCUGAAUACCUGCACAUUUUGGUAGUACGAGUGGCAGAUUGUAAAGGUUUCUAGGAAAAUAUCAGCAGGCUUUGAGAAAAGUUCCUGAGAUAGCAUUAUAGAUAUUCUGUUAUAUUAACAAAUAAAGUACUGUUGAUCAUUAUCAGGUUACUUCUGGUCCAAUGGUAAAUAUUAACAAAAGUGGAGUCUUUGACUUGUUGGCUGCUACGCAAAGAAACAAUUAUGCAAACAUAGGUAAAAUGAAAUUUGCUCAAGGAGAGGCUACUGGAGUAUCAUGUAUCUCUAUGGGAGUAAAACUUGGCUCCAAUAUUUUCUGCCGGUACUUGUACGAACUUCGCAACUAUUGCCAAAUUUUCAGUGGCUUCUCCCGAGGGCAAGAAUCACAUCCUUCAUAAACACAUGACACAUAUUCAAUGAAAAGAUAAGUUUUUCUAUCUUUGCCCUUAUUGUUGAUAUAUAUCUAAGAAACUGAAAUUGUGUACAAUGACUUAUUGGUCUGCUAUGGUGAGAUCAUUGUAUGUUUACAUCAAAUAAAUAUACCUUAUCAAUCUAGGGUGAAAUUUAUCAUUCAAUGUGAUGUAGGAAAGGACACCUUAAUAACGCUCACAAAGUGUUCGACAAUAUGCGUCAAUGAAAUUAGAAUCUCCAAUUGUCUUUCUAUACUUUAUAAGCUAGUGUUAUGCAUGCUAAUAUGAUACGGUGACUUAAGAAAUCAAGUUAACCUACUAUUCUAUAGAAUAAUAAUCACUUUAUUUGAUGUUCUUGUUGGUAUAAGACAGUUCAAUGUUGCUUUUAUCCAACGUAUGAAGCUGACUAAAUUAUCGUGAGACGGCAAGAGGAUUGAGGGCUUCACUUUUGGAUACAUAAUCUAUAAUGUGAGAGUCUAAUUUGGACUCUUACAAUAUUAGUUUGAUCAUUCAUAGAGAGUGCUUAUCAAUUUAACUAGUUUAAGUAUCAACUAAAAAGUUCCUAAGUAAUAUUCGAGCUUGACCAAAGAGAAUUGCCUAAAUGUUGUUCUUCGUAUUAAAGAUUUGCCUAAAUAAGAUAGGACUAAAUUUUACUUCAAUGAUUUGCUAAAUUGGGUUUUAAAAAGAGAAUUUUGAUUUCUGAUUUUCAUGUUUGAUAUUGGUUUGAUAAAUAUUUCAUAGUAACUUUAUUCGAUGUUUUAUUGCUAUGGUCAAUAAUCUUGGUGAAUUACGUGCCCCAUAAUCAACAUUGUGAAACAUAUUAAUUGUGGGAUCUCUAGACUCUACUUUGAUAUCUAUGGAACACUAUGGCAGAUACUAGUUGGGUGACUUUUUUUAGGAGAUAUAUUUAUGUGUGCAAGCAACUUGAUGACAUAAGCAUGAUUUGACUUUAAUUUUUAGAUUAUUGACUCUGCCACCGUGGGUUAUCCUUGUUGGUGCUGAUGCUCAAGUGAUUGCUCUUGGUGUCUUCUUGUCCUGCCCUUUCUCCCAUCGCGUUCUUGACCUAAUUUCACGUGCUUUCUCUCUCUUAAAAUUCAGACAUACUGUUUUAUCUUUUUUCGCAAAACUUUUCAGGCCUUUGUAAAUGCGUGGAAGUAGGCUUGUUCUACACCAAAAUCAGUCUUUAGUUCCUCAAGGGCAUCGUUAUCUUGUUAAUGUAACAAGGUUUGAAGGACCAUGUACUACUAGAUCAGUUUUUCAGGUAAGUUGGUAGCAAGACAUGUAAAUAUGUCUGCUAAGUUGAUGUGAUCCACUAUAAUGCAUCUGUUGACCAUGGCUAUUAUAACUCUGCUGCUGUUGUGUGCUUGGAGUGCAAGUUGAUGGCACAAUAGUUGCACCAGAAGAGCCCAAGGACUGGGAUCCAAAACUACCCCAGACCUGGUUAUAUUUUUACAACUUGACCAAUGUCUUUUUCCAAGGCAAAAGGGUGAUUGAUGGGUCAGGCAAUAAAUGGUGGGUUGCAUCCUGCAAAAAGAACAAGACCAAUGUAAUUCUUUGUCAUCAUCUAAAUUCCUUACUACCGACUGAUGGAAUUGAUUGCAUUGCUACGGCACUAACGGUGGAUUCAAGCUCUGCUAUAAGGGUCAAGGGUCUGACUAUCCAGAAUAGCCAGCAGAUGUAUUUCGUUAUUGCUUGUUCUGAUUCUGUGCGAGUGUUCAAUGUGCUAAUUUCUUCCCCCAUGAGACAGUCCUAACAUUGAUGGAAUAGACAUCAGUGAAUCAAUGAAUGUUGCUCUCCUCGACUGUAAAAUUGGAACAAGUAUUUUCAACCUUGAACUACUGUAUUCAUAUAUGUUGCUACCAUGAUCUUCACCUGUUAUAAAAAAUGCUUCAUUUUAGAGGGGUAAUGGUAAAUUGUUUCCUUCUUUAGUUGAAGGCGUGAAGUAGUGCUAAAAGGGUUGUAUGUUUGAAAUAUUAACACAUGUUGGUCUGUGCUAGUAGUCUAAUACCACACUACCCCUUUUACAACGUGUCUUGGAAUAGGAGUUUGCAUUAUGUAUUAUAAGCUAUUAUAUGGUUUAAUAGCUGCUUUUAUGUUGACGUCUGUGCAUACCAGGGGAUGAUUGUAUUUCAAUCGUCAAUGCUAGUUCAACUAUCAAAAUGAAAAAAAAUUAUUGUGGUCUUGGGCAUGGAAUUAGGAAGCCUUGGGAAGGAUAAUUCAACUGGCAUUGUCUCAAAAGUUGUCAUGAAUGGUCCGUUUAUAAGGAAUGCGAGUAAUGGGGCCAAGAUGGCAGAACUUAGCUGAGGAUCUACAGCUAAUGGAGAUGCAGCUACAAACAACAAAAGAUGCUAGCUACGGAAUUAAAAGAGAAUGCAAAGAAAAGGCAAAGACACCAAGAAAUGGUGACGCGGAAAACCCCAGGAAAAGGGUAAAAACCGCGGGUGGAAUUGAGUCCACCAAUCCACUAUUUGAGAAGAUUACAACUUAUAGCUAGCAGCUAGCAGCUUAGAGCUUGUACUAAAUACACUUAAGAAUAUUGUAAAUGUAGAAGA